CCUACGGGAGGCAGCAGUGGGGGAUAUUGCACAAUGGGGGAAACCCUGAUGCAGCGACGCCGCGUGGGUGAAGAAGCGCCUCGGCGCGUAAAGCCCUGUCAGCAGGGAAGAAAAUGACGGUACCUGAAGAAGAAGCCCCGGCUAACUACGUGCCAGCAGCCGCGGUAAUACGUAGGGGGCAAGCGUUAUCCGGAUUUACUGGGUGUAAAGGGGGCGCAGACGGCGAUGCAAGCCAGGAGUGAAAGCCCGGGGCCCAACCCCGGGACUGCUCGUGGAACUGCGUGGCUAGAGUGCAGGAGGGGCAGGCGGAAGUCCGGGUGUAGCGAUGAAAUGCGUAGAUAUCAGGAGGAACACCGGUGGCGAAGGCGGCCUGCUGGACUGCAACUGACGUUGAGGCCCGAAAGCGUGGGGAGCAAACAGGAUUAGAUACCCGAGUAGUC
rnacentral:rRNA from 1 species